ensembl:ncRNA lncRNA:CR44333 long non-coding RNA:CR44333
AGCUAAAAAUCCCUAAAAACAAAAAGAAUGUAGAAAAUCGAACUAAAAAAACAAUUUGCUAAAGUAUCUAUGAAUUCUAAGCGCCCAGAAAAUGGCUCAAUGGCGCCGCUAAAUGGAUGAAAAAUUCAUGGAAAACCGUUUUGCGGCCACCAGACAUAGAAUGCAACCAGCAAAAAUGUAGCACGAAAAAAUGCUGCAGUUCAUGUGAGGCCGGAACGUCAGAAAGCGAAAAUGUUGAGUAAACGUGCUGCUAAAAAAACACAAAAAUUAGAAUUUAAAGGGACUUCGAGCUUGGAACUUUUGUGGAAAACGAAACAUGGAUCUGUCUGUUGAUUUAAUGGCAUCAUUGGCAUUGAUUUUUAUGCG